AACGAACGCUGGCGGCAGGUCUAACACAUGCAAGUCAAGGGGUCCUUCGGGACACCGGCGCACGGGUGCGUAACACGUGGGAAUCUACAUCUUGGUACGGAAUAACUCAGAGAAAUUUGUGCUAAUACCGUAUAAUGACUCCGGUCCAAAGAUUUAUCGCCAAGAGAUGAGCCCGCGCCUGAUUAGGUUGUUGGUGGGGUAAAAGCCUACCAAGCCGACGAUCAGUAGCUGGUCUUAGAGGAUGAUCAGCCACACUGGUACUGAGACACGGACCAG
rnacentral:rRNA from 1 species